GUGGGGAAUUUUGCGCAAUGGGCGAAAGCCUGACGCAGCGACGCCGCGUGUGCGAUGAAGGCCUUUGGGUCGUAAAGCACUGUCGACCGGGACGAAAACUCAUGGGCCAAUACCCCAUGAGCUUGACGGUACUGGUAAAGGAAGCACCGGCUAACUCUGUGCCAGCAGCCGCGGUAAUACAGAGGGUGCAAACGUUGCUCGGAAUUAUUGGGCGUAAAGCGCGUGUAGGCGGCUCGUUAAGUCGGUUGUGAAAGCCCAUGGCUCAACCAUGGAAGUGCGACUGAAACUGGCGAGCUUGAGUCUCGUAGAGGAUGGCGGAAUUCCCGGUGUAGAGGUGAAAUUCGUAGAUAUCGGGAGGAACAUCGGUGGCGAAGGCGGCCAUCUGGAAGAAGACUGACGCUGAGACGCGAAGGCGUGGGGAGCAAACAGGAUUAGAAACCCGUGUAGUCC
rnacentral:rRNA from 1 species